UCCCAAAUAGUCUAGGCGGUUAGGAUACGUGGCUUUCACCCACGCGACCCGGGUUCGAGUCCCGGUGUGGCAA
rnacentral:tRNA from 1 species